GACGAACGCUGGCGGCGUGCCUAAUACAUGCAAGUAGAACGCUGAAGAGAGGAGCUUGCUCUUCUUGGAUGAGUUGCGAACGGGUGAGUAACGCGUAGGUAACCUGCCUUGUAGCGGGGGAUAACUAUUGGAAGCGAUAGCUAAUACCGCAUAACAAUGGAUGACACAUGUCAUUUAUUUGAAAGGGGCAAUUGCUCCACUACAAGAUGGACCUGCGUUGUAUUAGCUAGUAGGUGAGGUAAUGGCUCACCUAGGCGACGAUACAUAGCCGACCUGAGAGGGUGAUCGGCCACACUGGGACUGAGACACGGCCCAGACUCCUACGGGAGGCAGCAGUAGGGAAUCUUCGGCAAUGGGGGCAACCCUGACCGAGCAACGCCGCGUGAGUGAAGAAGGUUUUCGGAUCGUAAAGCUCUGUUGUAAGUCAAGAACGGGGGUGAGAGUGGAAAGUUCACACUGUGACGGUAGCUUACCAGAAAGGGACGGCUAACUACGUG
rnacentral:rRNA from 1 species